rnacentral:rRNA from 1 species
AUUGAACGCUGGCGGCAGGCCUAACACAUGCAAGUCGAGCGAGCGGCGGACGGGUGAGUAAUGUAUGGGGAUCUGCCUGAUGGAGGGGGAUAACUACUGGAAACGGUAGCUAAUACCGCAUACCAUCAGAUGUGCCCAGAUGGGAUUAGCUAGUAGGUGGGGUAACGGCUCACCUAGGCGACGAUCCCUAGCUGGUCUGAGAGGAUGACCAGCCACACGGGAACUGAGACACGGCCCAGACUCCUACGGGAGGCAGCAGUGGGGAAUAUUGCACAAUGGGCGCAAGCCUGAUGCAGCCAUGCCGCGUGUAUGAAGAAGGCCUUCGGGUUGUAAAGUACUUUCAGCGGGGAGGCGUUACCCACAGAAGAAGCACCGGCUAACUCCGUGCCAGCAGCCGCGGUAAUAC